rnacentral:rRNA from 1 species
UACAGAGGGGGCAAGCGUUGUUCGGAAUUACUGGGCGUAAAGGGCUCGUAGGCGGCCAACUAAGUCAGACGUGAAAUCCCUCGGCUUAACCGGGGAACUGCGUCUGAUACUGGAUGGCUUGAGUGUGGGAGAGGAAUGCGGAAUUCCAGGUGUAGCGGUGAAAUGCGUAGAUAUCUGGAGGAACACCGGUGGCGAAGGCGGCAUUCUGGACCAUUACUGACGCUGAGGAGCGAAAGCCAGGGGAGCAAACGGG